UUAACCCAAUGUUGAAGAGGAAAAGUGAAUUCUUUUAUAUGAGCAUAAAGUGAAAUAAGACAGGCAAGGAAGGAGAACCCACACGCCUAACAAUGAGGAGGCGCCUUCCUUCCCACAAAGUUGAAUCAAUAUACUCUCUUUUUCACAGUCCACACCCUUCACUCUAUGCCUCAGAAAAAGUGAGGUGGUAUCCCCUUCCAAGUCACAUAAAUUGCUUGAUUUAAAUGCUUAUCUAGAGCAUAUCAAUACAUUUCCUAACAUAAAUUCCAAAGCCAAAACCACAUAAAACCUAAAAAGAGGGAAAAAAAAAGGUUAAAAAGAAAAAAGGAAAGAAAGAUCCUUCUCUGCUCUUUCUUCCCUCUUCUCCGCCAAAGAAAAUGCAAUCCUUAAACCUCCAUGGAAGCUAUGGUCUUCCCCUCUGUGUUUCAGGGAUCACUCAUCGUCACACCGUCUCUGAUGAGAUGGCAGAUCAUGACAGAAGAAGGGAGGCCAUGAAAAGGAAAAUAUCUCAAGCUAGAGAGAGCGUGCACACAAAUCAAGAAAUGGGUAUUGGGAGAAACUAUGGAAGAGAGGUUGAACAGAUCAAAGAAGGUGAGGUUGAUGAAGAUCAUGAUCAUUACCGCCCUUGUUUGGCUUGCACAGCUAAAGCUGCAUAGCUUUGUUCCUGAAUCAAAAUUGUUGCAAGACCUUCCCUUCUGGGAUUCCUUGAGUUACAUCUCUUUAUCAAUUUAUGUAUGGAUUCAUCCCCUGUUGGGCUCUUCAUUUCUAUGAUCUUGGUUUUGGUGUGUUCUUCUUCUA